rnacentral:rRNA from 1 species
CCUACGGGAGGCAGCAGUGGGGAAUAUUGCACAAUGGGCGGAAGCCUGAUGCAGCGACGCCGCGUGAGGGAUGACGGCCUUCGGGUUGUAAACCUCUUUCAGCAGGGACGAAGCGAAAGUGACGGUACCUGCAGAAGAAGCGCCGGCCAACUACGUGCCAGCAGCCGCGGUAAGACGUAGGGCGCGAGCGUUGUCCGGAUUUAUUGGGCGUAAAGAGCUCGUAGGCGGCUUGUCGCGUCGACUGUGAAAACCCGCGGCUCAACCGCGGGCCUGCAGUCGAUACGGGCAGGCUAGAGUUCGGUAGGGGAGACUGGAAUUCCUGGUGUAGCGGUGAAAUGCGCAGAUAUCAGGAGGAACACCGAUGGCGAAGGCAGGUCUCUGGGCCGAUACUGACGCUGAGGAGCGAAAGCGUGGGGAGCGAACAGGAUUAGAUACCCUGGUAGUCCACGCUGUAAACGUUGGGCGCUAGGUGUGGGGGACCUCUCCGGUUCUCUGUGCCGCAGCUAACGCAUUAAGCGCCCGCCUGGGGAGUACGGCCGCAGGCAAAACGUCAAAGGAAUUGACGG